rnacentral:rRNA from 1 species
AUUGAACGCUGGCGGAAUGCUUUACACAUGCAAGUCGAACGGCAGCACGGGGUCAACCCUGGUGGCGAGUGGCGAACGGGUGAGUAAUAUAUCGGAACAUGUCCGGAAGUGGGGGAUAACGUACCGAAAGGUACGCUAAUACCGCAUAUGCCCCGAGGGGGAAAGGAGGGGGUCGCAAGACCUUUCGCUUUCGGAGUGGCCGAUAUCGGAUUAGCUAGUUGGUGGGGUAAAGGCCCACCAAGGCGACGAUCCGUAGCUGGUCUGAGAGGACGACCAGCGACACUGGAACUGAGACACGGUCCAGACGCAUACGGGAGGCAGCAGUGGGGAAUUUUGGACAAUGGGGGCAACCCUGAUCCAGCCAUUCCGCGUGAGUGAAGAAGGCCUUCGGGUUGUAAAGCUCUUUCGGACGGGAAGAAACGGUCACGGCCAAUACCCGCGACUAAUGACGGUACCGUAAGAAGAAGCACCGGCUAACUACGUGCCAGCCGCCGCGGUAAUAC